UGGCUCUCGCAUCGAUGAAGAACGCAGCGAAAUGCGAUAAGUAAUGUGAAUUGCAGAAUUCAGUGAAUCAUCGAAUCUUUGAACGCACCUUGCGCCUUUUGGUAUUCCGAAAGGCAUGCCUGUUUGAGUGUCAUGAAAUCUCAACCCUUCUGGUUUUCUGAACUGGCUGGGCUUGGACUUGGGCGAUCCGCCAGCAAUGGCUCGCCUCAAAUGACUUAGUGGAACAUCCCACAUCAGUGUUAGACGUAAUAAGUUUCGUCUCUCCUUGUGGUGAUGACUGCUCAGAACCUGCCAUCGCGCACCCUUUUGACAUUGACCUCAAAUCAGGUAGGGCUACCCGCUGA
rnacentral:misc_RNA from 1 species